GUGCUCACUCGGGCAGCAGAUAUGCUAAAAAUUUGAGUGGUAGAGAGAUUAGCAUGGCCACUGGGCUAGGAUGACACACAAAUUCACGAAGUAGCCUGUGUUUUA
ensembl:snRNA U6 U6 spliceosomal RNA